rnacentral:rRNA from 1 species
GACGAACGCUGGCGGCGUGCCUAACACAUGCAAGUCGAACGGAGAUUAGCGCGGAACGGAAGAGAGCUUGCUUUUGGAAAUUCUUGCUGAUCUUAGUGGCGGACGGGCGAGUAACGCGUGAGCAACCUGCCCUUCAGUGGGGAACAACAGCCGGAAACGGCUGCUAAUACCGCAUAAUGUGCUUUGGUCGCAUGACCGAAGUACCAAAGGAGCAAUUCGCUGAAGGAUGGGCUCGCGUCCGAUUAGCUAGUUGGUGAGGUAACGGCCCACCAAGGCGACGAUCGGUAGCCGAACUGAGAGGUUGAUCGGCCGCAUUGGGACUGAGACACGGCCCAGACUCCUACGGGAGGCAGCAGUGGGGGAUAUUGCACAAUGGAGGAAACUCUGAUGCAGCAACGCCGCGUGAGGGAAGACGGUCUUCGGAUUGUAAACCUAAGUUAUCAGGGACGAAAGAAAUGACGGUACCUGAAGAGAAAGCUCCGGCUAACUACGUGCCAG